rnacentral:lncRNA from 1 species
AGUAACCGAGCCUUCGACUUUGUUCAUGUUAGGAUGAGAUUUUCCUCCUGUUCCUAACACGCUUAAUUUUGAUUGAAUGAGGGAGUUACUUCCUGUCGUUAUAAGCCUGUGCUAAAAGAAAAAUAUGCAAAUACGAAACUUUUAUUUAAGGCAAAGUUAUUGGUAAUACAUCUAUAGAUUUUUCGAAUCCUAUAGCCGCGGAAGGUCUGCUCCCCGUCGGGGUCCUCCUGAGAUGGAGUUGAUAAUCUCAAUCGAAGGUCAAUCUUCAGGCUACUCCUCCCUC